rnacentral:rRNA from 1 species
UGGGAAAAGCUCAACUUUGAAAUCUGGCACCUUCGGUGUCCGAGUUGUAGUCUCAAGAAGUGUUUUCUGUGCUGGUCCAUGUAUGAGUCUGUUGGAACACAGCGUCAUAGAGGGUGACAACCCCGUUCAUGACAUGGAUACCAGUGCUUUGUGAUACACUCUCGAAGAGUCGAGUUGUUUGGGAAUGCAGCUCAAAUUGGGUGGUAAAUUCCAUCUAAAGCUAAAUAUUGGCGAGAGACCGAUAGCAAACAAGUACCGUGAGGGAAAGAUGAAAAGCACUUUGGAAAGAGAGUUAACAGUACGUGAAAUUGUUGAAAGGGAAACGAUUGAAGUCAGACGUGCGUGAUGCGGUUCAGCACUGGUUCGCCAGUGUGUAUUCCGUAUCUUUGCAGGCCAACAUCAGUUUCGGUAGUCGGAUAAAGGUUAGUUGAAUGUGGCACCUUCGGGUGUGUUAUAGCU